CUACAAAUAAGUCAACAUGACCAAAAUGGUCAGUUGACCCCUUCAGGAGUUAUUGCCCUUUAUAGUCAAUUUUUAACAAUUUUCAUUAAUUUGGUAAAUUUUUGUAAAUUUUUACAAAAUAUUUUCCUCUGUAACUAAAGGGUCAAGUUUAUUAUAGAUAGAGAAAAUAGUAAGUAGCAAGAAUGUUCAGUAAAGUAAGAUCUACAAACACAUCAUCA
rnacentral:lncRNA from 1 species